UACGAAGGGGGCGAGCGUUGUUCGGAAUUACUGGGCGUAAAGGGCGCGUAGGCGGCCGAUCAAGUUAGAUGUGAAAGUCCUGGGCUUAACCUGGGGACUGCAUUUGAUACUGAUUGGCUUGAAUUCGGGAGAGGAUAGCGGAAUUCCCAGUGUAGAGGUGAAAUUCGUAGAUAUUGGGAAGAACACCGGUGGCGAAGGCGCCACUCUGGGCCGGUACUGACGCUGAGGAGCGAAAGCGUGGGUAGCAAACAGG
rnacentral:rRNA from 1 species